rnacentral:misc_RNA from 1 species
AGCUAGUCAAGUGACUUUUGUGGUUGGGGUUGCAAGAAAAGUCGUUUGGGCUGUAUGUCGUCUAAGAGAUUAGUUGGUUUGAUGAGUGCAACGUUUUCGAUAUGAUGAUUACGGGUGCCGGUUAGUGGUAUUUUGUGUGAUUGAGCAAAGUUUUCGCCCAAGGAAACGGAUGAGCCGUCCAACCGAGCAUCACAGCAAAGUGCAAUUGCGGGACGAUUGCAAACCGGUUAUGCCCCUUUUAACAGUAAAUUCGCAAAGGUCCAGUUCUCGUGUGUGUGGGCAUUACAGAAAAAGUUGAGAAAAACAAAGGCGGUCUGGAAGGAGUUGAGCUCGCUCGCCGCAGUGUUUGGACGUGAAAGUGCAUCGAUCAAAAUCCGGCCCAACUAGGGAAUCGCGGGGGCCGUCAGUCGUUCGAAAUGGAUUGUCUCCUGUUGUCAUUCGCGCUGGCAGUUUUAGAUACGCUGUAGAAGAAGAAAGCGCAGCCAUAAAAAGUUUGCAUUUGACAGAUGGUGACAGGCUUUCCAAAUGUUGAUUACAUUCAAGUUCGACCACAAUCUGGAGAUCGAAAACUGGUUUUUUGUUGUCCCGAACGAGACUUUUAGGGAGUGCAGUGCCGUAAAAAGUGGAUUUGAAUUGUAAUUGAAUUUCGCUGUGGAAUCGGGGGACGAGUACGUUCGCGACUUUCCGCUGCAACUUGAUCUGUUUUCGCGGAGUGUACAAGUGCAACAAGCUGAGCCGAACAAAAUGGGCUACGACCUGAAUCGCUUUCAGGGGGAGGUCGACGAGGAGUUGACUUGUCCUAUAUGUUCAGGAGUUCUCGAGGAGCCUCUGCAGGUAAAUCGCCAAGAUGCAGCUUUAUGUGAACACGCUUUUUGUCGUGCUUGCAUAACAGAAUGGCUUUCUCGCCAACCAACCUGCCCUGUCGAUCGCAAUGCCCUCACGACAGCAAAUCUUAGAGCAGUUCCUCGAAUUUUACGUAAUUUGCUUUCGCGACUUUCUAUUACAUGUGAUAACGCCAUGUACGGCUGUACAUUAGUACUAAAAUUAGACGCCCUUGCCGGCCAUUUAGAGGAGUGCGAACACAAUCCGAAACGACCACUACCAUGCGAAAAGGGAUGUGGAUUUGUAAUACCAAAAGAUGAAUUUAAAGAUCACAAUUGCGUGAGGGAAUUACGUUCGCUGAUUCAUACUCAACAACAGAAAUUGGGUGAAUUGAAAACAGAAAUUAGCGAUCAAAAUCUAACAAUAAACGAGCUCAAACGGGAAUUGCAACUAUUCAAGGACUUCAUGAGAGCUAUGCGCGUCUCUAAUCCAGCAAUGCGAGCGAUCGCUGAUCAGAUGGAACGCGAUGAAGUUGUGAGGUGGAGCAGUACUUUGGCGAGAGCGAGAGUGACACGUUGGGGCGGAAUGAUCUCUACUCCAGACGAUGCACUUCAGAUGAUGAUAAAGAGAGCACUGUCUGAGUCUGGAUGUCCACCACAUAUACUCGAUGAUCUGAUGGAAAAUUGCCAUGAACGCCGGUGGCCACGUGGCUUAAGCUCCUUGGAAACGCGGCAGAAUAACCGCCGAAUUUACGACAAUUACAUUUGUCGUCGAAUACCUGGAAAACAAGCCGUUUUAGUUUUGAGUUGUGAUAAUUCCCAUAUGGCAGAGGACGUAAUGGUGGAUCCUGGAUUAGUUAUGAUAUUUGCUCACGAAGCAGCGGGAAAGUCACCAAUAUGUGUAUAUUUGAAUAAAUAAGACUUUAGAGAAAACCGCAAAAUUAUUAAUUGGAAUGCGCAACAUGUGAAAAGUUACGCGAAAUUUAAUUUGACGAUUUUGAAUUUUGAUUUCAUCAUUCCGCCAGAAGUCAUGAUUCCUGGAAACAAGUGAUGCUUGUAGCAAAUUAAUUUGUUUAUAUCAGCCCGCCAGUCAAUGAAUAUCCGCUGUCAUAACUAAUAUUUUAUCAGAAGAACUACAAGUUUAAGAUGCUCCAAUAUGAAGCGCCUGAAUUGCGAAUGUGACUUUCUUUGUUUCAAAAUGUUACGUUUCUCAUUUAGUGGAGAAAUUAAGGACUCAGAAAUAUAACAAAUUGUUUCAUUACAACAAAUAAAAUCGAAUAAAUAAAGAAAGUGGCAUAUUUAUCUAUUGAAUCAUGCUUUGCCUCCGAAACUCAUUAAAGUGUCCAUUUGUAUAGUUCAGUUCGAAUUCCUUUCAAUGGCAGAUUUUAUUAUUUUGGUGGCAAUUGUGAGUAAAUAUGAUUAAAAUGCUUUGUGAUUUAUUAUUUAAAGCGGAGGCUGUAUGCUAAGUGUCAAUAUUUUAACACGUAAGAAUUACAAUAAAUGGAAAUUAUGAAACAAUGAACAACAUUGUUCGUAAUAAUCUACUCA